rnacentral:rRNA from 1 species
AGUCUGCAACCCGACUACAUGAAGCUGGAAUCGCUAGUAAUCGCGGAUCAGAAUGCCGCGGUGAAUACGUUCCCGGGUCUUGUACACACCGCCCGUCACACCAUGGGAGUCGGAAAUGCCCGAAGUCGGUGACCUAACUGAAAGGAAGGAGCCGCCGAAGGCAGGUCUGGUGACUGGGGUGAAGUCGUAACAAGGUAAC